UGGACGGUCAUAGUAGAUUGAGUAGACAGUGGAUGGGUGUCACGUUUAGAGCAACAGAAAGAGAAAGUGAGCAUUGGUGGACAUUGUACAGGUAGCAGCGACGAGGUGUGUCGACGAACGGGCGACGAAUGUCGAGAUUUCUGAGUCUUCGGAGGAGAUGCGCGUCCCAGGGGACCGCGGGGCAAUGAGUAACGACGAGUCGGCCGGAACGCGGGUCAUGAGUAACGCAAAAUGAGAAGAUCGUUUAACGCCGCGGUGGAGGCCCGAACAACGGACUGCCUCGAAGUCACGAGACGUCUGCACAAAAGCGUGACGGAGAUCGUUAAGAAAUUGGAUGAGCAAAAGAAUCGUGCCCUGACAGUAAGUGACAUAUUUCUUUCAUCUGGAAAAAUUCAGCGUAUGAAACUUAAGGAUUAUUGCGAGAGACUGAUAUUGAAAGACCCUAUUGGAAAUGUACAUAAAAUAGAGGAACUACUCUGGAGAAAGGCCUUCUACGAUGUUGUGUACACAGCUAAGAAGUUACGAAAGAGUAACACCUGGAAUGAUAUGGAAAAAACACUGCUUUCAAUCCAUUUGGCAGUGGGUGUGGGAUAUUAUCAUCAUCUGAUAAUGAGAUUGCAAACUGAAUACGAUCUAGAUCUUGUUGGUGUUGUUGAUUUUGCUUUCAUUCAAAAUGAAAGUAUUUCAUCAUAUGCAAGAACUAAGACAGGGCAAUUUAAAACUCAUACCAAGGAGCUCAAACAGUGUGUUAUGCGCUUGAUCCAUCGAAGCUUAGUAUGCCUUGGAGACUUGAGUAGGUACAAAUUAGAAUUAAAUUCAAACUGGGAUCCAAUGAUAGCAAACAGGUAUUAUAAGAUGGCUAUAGCCAUUGAUCCAAACAUUGGUAUGCCUCACAAUCAGCUUGGUACUAUAGCAGGCAAUAAAAAUUAUGGAUUAGAUGCAGUUUAUCAUUACAUGAGAAGCGUUUUGUGUUCUGAACCAUUUGAAGGAGCAGAAGGAAAUUUAAAGAAAAUUGUAAUAACUCAGUCGACCUAUACAGAUGAAAACAAUUCUGUCCAUCAUUGUGUAUCACGAUUGUUUUCUUUGUUACGUUUAUGGGAUUAUGAAAAUCCAAAUUCUGAUAAAAUAAAUCAAGAAUGCCAGGAUCUUUUAACCGAUAUAGAGAAGUGUUUAAAAAUGGAUCAAAUCGAGCCAAAUAAUACAAAUUCUCUCGAAAAUACGGAUAACAUAGAAACAUAUCUUCAAAAUUGUAAAAACAGACCAACGCUUUAUUUAACAGAUGAUAUGGUAUUUAAAAUCGUGACAAUAUGCUUAAUGUCAAUUUCUAGAUUAAAGAAUAAAGAAUCCAACGAAGUACAAGGCGUCGUUGCUAUAACUUUAGCAAUACUAUCGCAAUUGUUAGAGUUUAUAAUAAGAAAACUGCAAAAAAUGAUCAUAGAAAUGGCUGUGUCUGGUGAAGAAGCUGUGAAGGGAAAUACUUGUUCCAAGUUAAAAAAUGCACAGGAAAAUCAAGCGUUAUCUGAAUCAGGAGACAACGGAAAUCACGUGAAAGAAAAAGACUCUAUUUUUAGUAAAGACAAUAAUGUACUCAAUUUAGAUGAGACUAACAAAGUUAAGUCAUCAGAUAACGGAAUCGCAAACAAAUCAGGUCCCAAAAAAACUCGCAAUAAAUCGAAAAGUCUUCUCAGCAAGCUUCGUAGACGGAAAAGGAGAACUAGCUCCGAUUCAGAUGCGAGCGACGUAGAUCAGUCAACAUUAGCGUCGUCCAGUGACGAAAUCAACUCUGACGUGUCUGAAACGGAGGACGACGCAUUAAGUGAGGGAAACGAUGCUUUAUCGGACGAUAAUACAGAUGACGAAGAACUAUCUCCAGAAAAUAAGAUUCAGAUUAUCAAAAAUGUAGUGCAGCCAGCGAAAAAAGAAAUGAACGGCCAUGGCAGCGAUAUUGCCAACAAAAUGGAGGAUUGUGAUAAGAACGGUAUCAACCAUUUGGUUAACGGGCAACAGCACGCGACUAAUCAGCAGACAGGUUCGAAAGCAUUAAGUGAUAAAGAUUCUGUAAUAAGUUCUGUGAGCAGCAGUGUUGUGACCAUCACGAAUACUGACUCGUCUAGUACCUUCGAGGAAGGCAAUGAUCGUUUAUGCAAUGCAGACAACAUCUUUUGUAUGGCACAGUUGAAAAAGCAAAGUUUAAAAUCGGAUGACAUUUUGAAAAUAUUGAUUGACAAGGAGAUCCUUGUGUCUAUUAAAGUGUGCUGCGAUUGGCUUCGAAGUAACCCUGACAUCGUUCGGAUAUGCGCUAAGAGUUCACGAACAUUAUUGAAACGUAUUACGAUCCUGUUAAAUCUAAUCAAUAUGGAUAUUGAAACUCUUGUGCAAGAAAGCAAAGAUUCCUCAAUUUUAUCCAGCGUGAAGAAACUGAAAGAGUACACGAAGAUCGUACCUCUACCAGAAGACAUUGAUCUUCGGGGGUUAAAUUUACUGGAAAAUACUCAUAAAGCUCUUAAUUGGGAAAUACUUCGUAAACACAAAAUGAACAAGCGGGAAGAAACACUGCUGAGAGUAUUGAAGCUAAUCGAAUUCGGACACCAUCUCUGUUCUGUUGAGAAUUCAAAAGUACAGUACGAUCAGACUCAGGGAUUAUUUAUGGUGACGGACGAAAACUCCUCAAAUGCUCCAAAGGUAAUAGGUUUAGACGAGAAAAAUUUCGGGCCGGAACAUUCGAAACAGAAACUUAUGAAACACAUGGGCAAAUUAUGGCUGAAUGCAUGGCUCAAUGCCGAGGUUCGAGCUUUAGAGAGUCAAGUACAAUCUCGAUUGAUGUCGCCAUAUCUUGUUCCCGAUCACAAAGCUUUAUCCAAGCAUACGCCGGCUCUUAAACGCUUAGUGGAAGCAAAAAUAUUUGUUGUGGUGAUUCCCUCAGUUGUUGUUUCUGCUCUGGAUGAGGUAAAACGUGUAAGCGCUCAGGCAAGAGAAGCGACACGAUGGCUGGAGGUGCAACUGAGGUGUGGCUCAAGAUUCUUACGGGCGCAGAGACCACACGAACGUUUGGCGCCGCCAUUAAUAACAGAACCAAAACCGAAGGACAAGGAAGCAUGGUUAUUUUUCCAGAUAAUAGAGUGUUGUUACUAUUUGACUCAGGAAGCGAAGGUUGGUUUUACUGGUGACGGAGAGGUACCUGUUGUGACCCUCCUGACUGGUUGUAAGCCAGACGACAGAAGAGCUUUGGAUUUUAGUCCUGAUGGAUUAGCAGAUAGUGCAGGUGUUAAUCUGGAGCAUAUAGAAUUGUUUUAUGUAAAGUGGAAAUCGUCAAUCAAGAGCUACGGUUGAACGAGAUAUAUCACUUCUGCGUGAUUAUUUGUCGCCAGUCUCAUUCAGAGAUAUCUAUCGCUCGGGUGCUGCAUAACCGGAUUUUCAGCCGAUUAAAGAGCAAACAUGGCAAGAGGGUUGGAAACCCGCAUAUGAAAAUCGACAAAGUACCGCUAUUCGGUGAUCGGUGCCGAUAAAGAAUGUCAUUUUCCGCAGUAGAAUUUUAACCCUAUCAUCCAGUUGGUGAGUCGCAGCUGUUUGCAGAUGUAAAUUAACACAUUUUGAAGAACAUAAGGCAUGAAAUUAAAUGAGUAUUACAUAUUCACGUUGAAAUAAUCGAGAACUGUCCACAUUCGG